UGAUUCAGUGUUUAUCUUGGGGGUGGGUUUGGUAUACCUAACAGGUUGUACUGCUCAUAUUGUUUUAGUAUGUGGGGUUUCAUUGGUUGGAUGGGUGUACAUGUGUAGGUCUUAUUUAGUGGGGAUAUAUGCCCUGGGUUGCGUUGGUGGGGUCCAGUGGGGUGGGUCUUUUGUUGGGGCUUCGGGUAUGGAGCUCGGAGCCGGUCCGUUAGUGUUAUGAACGGGGGUGGGGUGGGGUGUACUGGCAGCAUUGGUUUGUGUGUCUAAGUGUUGCUACGCUCAGAGCCGUCUGGUAGCUGGGGGAGAAAGCUGGGGGUUUCUGGCCCGGUAGUUGUCGUGUUGUGUGUAGCGUGAGUGUUGUCUCUGGCGUGCUGUCUUGUGUAUGUCUCUGUUGUGUGUCAUGGGUACGGUGCGUGUCGUUCGAUCUGUGUUGGGGGGGAGUGAGGGGUGAGCGUUGUUUGUCUUGUGUCAUGCUUAUUCAUCUCUGUGUUGGUUUGUCUCUGAAGGGUUGUAGGUGGGCGGAGUCGCUCAGGAGGGGGCGAGGGGGGGGUAAUGAAGAAUGGGGACCGGGGGGUGUGGGUGGUUUCAGGUUAAGCGGGAUGAGGUAUAGGGAGUUAGUGGUGGGUUAGGCGGGGGACGGCCCAGGUCUCGGUCCAGCUCCUCCGGCCUCGGCCCGGGGGGACAAUUCCACUUCUGUAUCUGAGGGCUGUAAGUCCCCGUCUCCCAUCGCUGUGGCAGAGGUGAGCCAUUGUGACCAGUGAUACCAGGUGUCGUGGUAGCGUUGUAUGCAUCCCGUCGCCGAGAGGAUGAGCUCCUCUAUACGUCUGAUGUCUUCUACUCUGAUCAUCCAUUCAUUGAUUGUCGGGGCCGUAGGUUGUUUCCAGUGUCUCGGAAUGAGGCUGCGAGCCGCAUUCAGGAGAUGCGGGAUUACAGAUUUUUUGUAUUUGUUGAAGGGGAGCGGGGUCAGGUGGAGCAGAUAGGUUUCGGGUGUAAGUUGUAGCUUCGCGUCCGUUACGGUCUCUAGGACUUUGUGGAUUUCCGUCCAGAAUGGUUUGAUGAGUGGGCAGGUCCACCAUAUAUGGAAGAGGGUUCCCAGUUCUUUCCUGCAUCUCCAACAUUCUGGUUCACAGGUGGACAUCAUUGCCGAUAAUUUCUCUGGUGUUCGGUACCAGUGCGAGAUCAUUUUAUAUCCUGCUUCCUGGUAUUUGGUGGCUAUAGAGGCUUUGUGUAUGAGCGUAAACACUGUGGUCCAUUGUUCCCUGGUGAGUGGGUGUCCUAGAUCUUUUUCCCAGUAUCUGGUGAAGUAAGGGAGGGGAGCAUCGGUGGGAGGUGUGAUUAGUAGUGUGUAUAGGAGUGAGAUUGCGUGUGGUGGGAUCGAGGGGCUUGUGCAAAGGGUUUCGAAGGUGGAGAGUGUUCGUGUUGCCGAUUUCAGUUCGGGCAUGUGCGUCAGGAAUUUCGUAAGCUGGUGGUAUCUGAAGCGGAGUGGCCAGUUGUGCGUGGUAUCUGGGACCAGGUCUCUCAGAGGGGUAAUCGUGCCUUGUUUGUAUAUGUCCUUUAGUCUGCAUGGAUAUGGCAGCCCUAGGGUUGUGACGUAGCGAGGUUCCAUCGCCGGGGGGAAUUUGGGGUUAUGGGAGAUAGGGCAGAGGGGAGAUAGCUCCGGGGCCAUGUCCCUGUGUCGCGCUAAGCCUCUCCAGACCGCCAGAGUAGCGUUUAUGGUUGGGUGUUGUCGUGGUAGUUCGUUGGUCAUAGCUUUUGGUAGCCAAGGGAGAAGAGAUAGGGGGGUCUGUGAGAAGCUUGCCUCAAUCGGGAUCCAAAGUUUGUUUUCCGGGUUGUGUGUCCAUUCAAUCAGACGCUGGAGAUGGACGGCUCGCCGAUAUUUGGUCAGAUCGGGUAGGCCCAGUCCCCCGUGGUGUUUGGGUCUCGUGAGAGUGGCGAAGUUCAAUCUCGCCCUCUGGCGAUGCCACACGUACUCUGUCAUUAUCUGUCGGGCUUGGGUGAAGAAGGUGGUGGGAAUGUGUAUGGGUAGGGUUUGCAGGAGGUACAGGAGUCGUGGGAGUAUGUUCAUCUUGAGUACGCUGAUCCUCCCCAGCCAUGUGAUGUGUGGCAGCUGCCAUGCGUUCAGGUCUUUUUUAAUCUGGUCAAGAAGGGGUGGGAAGUUGAUUCGGAAACUGGCUGUGAGGUCUGCCGACAGCCAGAUACCUAAGUAUUUGAUUGCUUCUGUGCACCAGUGGAAAGGGAAGUCAUUUUGUAGUAUGUUUACCAGUGGUUGGGGGCAGCCCACAUUGAGGAUUUCUGAUUUGGUGAAGUUGAUUUUUAGGUUUGACAGUAUGCCAUAAGUGUCAAAUUGAUGCAUUAAUUCUCUGAGGGAGGAUGCUGGGUCGGUGAUGGUAAACAGGAGGUCGUCCGCGUAUGCCGCAACCUUGCUGACUCCCCACCCGCCUUCGAUCCCUGCGAUGUUGGGUUGGGUUCUGAUGGCAUUUAGGAACGGCUCCAAGCUGAGGACAAAUAGCAGGGGCGAUAGUGGGCAGCCCUGCCUCGUGCCGUUUCUUAUUUCGAAAGGAUCCGAGAGAAUUCCGUUUACUUGUACUCGGGCAGCUGGGUUGGUGUAUAGGGCUGAUAUCCGGGCCAGCAUGUGCGGUCCCAUCCCAAGGUGCUCUAGGGUGGAGAAUAAGAAGGACCAGUCCACCCUGUCAAACGCCUUUUCGGCGUCUGUCGAGACCAAUAGGGCGGGCUUGUGUCCUCGUCCAGCUGCGUGUAUUAGGUUGAGUGCCUUGACGGUGUUGUCCCUGGCCUCUCUUCCCUCCACAAAUCCCACUUGGUCAGGGUGGAUGAGGUCCGGUAGUAAGGGUUGGAGGCGGAGUGCCAGUACCUUGGCGAGCAGCUUGAGGUCAGUGUUCAGCAGGGAUAUUGGUCGGUAGCUGGUGCAUGAGGACGGGUCUUUUCCUUCCUUCGGUAUCACCACGAUAUGGGCCAGGAGCGUGUUGGGAUCCAGUGGGUUCCCCUUAUGGAUGGCGUUAAACAGGGUAAGCAGGUGUGGGGUGAGAGCGUCUGCGAACGUCUUGUAGUAUUUUGCCGUGUAUCCGUCUGGUCCUGGGCUUUUCCCCUGUUUGGCCAGUUUGAUUGCUAGAUGUAUUUCUUCGGCAGUGAUGUCUUCCUCCAGUGCGGUUACGGCCCGGGGCGGGAGCUUGGAAGUCAGGUUCUGCGCUAUAUAUUCUUUCUGGCGAGCUAUGAAGGUUGCUUCUGUGGAGUUUGUUCGCGAAGUGUGUAGAGGUAAGCAAUAUAGGGAGGAGUAGUAUUGUCGGAAGCCGUCUGCUAUGGCUUUGGGUGUGAGCAUGUGUGUCCCUGCUGCUGUGAUCUUUUGGACGUGGCAUUUUUGCCUGCGCGCUCUCAGUGCUCUGGCUAAUAGUUUGCCACUUUUAUUUCCGAAUUCGUAAAAUGUUUUUUUUGCGAGUUGGAACUGGAAUUGGAUCUUUGAUUGUAACCGAGAGUUGAGUUUCGCUCUAGUCUCCAGAAGUUGUUUAUAGGUGGCGUCAUGGAGGGUGUGUUUGUGUUUUGCUUCCAGUUGGGCCACCUGGGUGACAAGGUGUGCAAUUUCUUGUGUACGUUGUUUUUUCAGGCGGGUGCCAUGUUUGAUAAGGAUCCCUCUAAUGACGCAUUUAUGCGCCUCCCAUAUUGUAGGCGGCGUGGAGUCAGGUGUCUUGUUGGUGAGGAAGAAGUGUUCUAGAGCGGAGCGUACGUCUGUUUGGAUUAGUGGGUCUUCCAGGAGCGAUUCAUUUAAUUUCCACGUCCAUUGCGGUUUUAAGGGCUUGGGGUGUUCUAUGGUGAUGAUUACUGGUGCGUGGUCUGACCAGGUCAUAGGCGCUAUUUGGGCUGCUAGCAGCGUGUCUAGGUCUCUGUGUUGGGUGAAAAAAUAAUCUAUCCUUGAGUAGGAUCUAUGUGGUGCUGAGUAGUAGGUGAAAUCUCUGUCUGUGUGGUGUAGGAUGCGCCAGGUGUCUGUAAAUUGGUGAUUUGAGAGGAGAGUCCUCAUUCCUCUGAGGAUGUGUCCUGGUAUCGUAGAUGCGCCUUUGGACGUGUCCAUUUUGGGGUCUAGGGGGGCAUUGAAGUCUCCUCCAAUUAUGAUUGUGCCUUCACCGAAUUCUUCUAGGGUUCUGAGGGCCGAGGCCAGAAACGGUUUCUGGCCUUUGUUUGGGAGGUACAGGUUUGCAAACGUGAGUGUGGAGUUGCCUAUUUUCCCCUUAAUAAAGAGAUAUCUGCCCUCCGUGUCUCUUACUUCUGCUUCCAGGUGGAACUGGGUGUUUGCUGAGAAUAGUAUGGCUACUCCCUUAGAUUUGGUCGAGGGGUUGUGCGCGAAGUGGCCGUUGGGGUAGUGUUUGUUGGAGAACUUCGGGGCCUGUGGUGCGUGAAAAUGGGUUUCCUGGAAGAAGGCUAUCGACACUCCCAGUGCUCUGAGUUCCCGUAACGCUCUGGCCCGUUUAUGAGGAGAGUUGAGGCCUCUCGCGUUAAGCGUGUAGAGUUUGAGGUGGUCCCAGUUGGGUCUGCCCGCGUAGGGGGCGUGGGGCGGGCCCAUGCUGUGGGUGUCGCCCCCGGGCCGGACCGGCCGGUGGACCCGGGCGGGC